rnacentral:rRNA from 1 species
UACGUAGGGGGCAAGCGUUGUCCGGAAUUAUUGGGCGUAAAGCGCGUGUAGGCGGUCCGGUAAGUCGGUUGUGAAAGCCCGGGGCUCAACCCCGGGUCGGCCGUGCGGACUGCGGGGCUCGAGCACUGUAGGGGCAGAUGGAAUUCCGGGUGUAGCGGUGGAAUGCGUAGAGAUCCGGAAGAACACCGGUGGCGAAGGCGGUCUGCUGGGCAGUAGCUGACGCUGAGGCGCGACAGCGUGGGGAGCAAACAGG